GGAGGCGGUUGUGGAGCGCCCGGUGGUGGAAAUGCCGCGGACGGAGCGACACGACGCGUCCGCCGACCGGGAACGACGAGCACGGACAGUGGACGGGGGAGCUGGGGAUUGAAGACCAAUCACUUGUAGCUGGGUGUAGUCUACAGGAUAUUACUAGGCUACAGUGUGAGGAUGGACCAUGAUGAGCAGAACAGCACAAGAAUAAGGAAGCGGACUUACCAAGGAAUGUUUUCUUAGCAUGUCGCUCUCCAGAACCUUGAGAUGAAUUCUCCGUGAGGUACCCUGAUCCCAGAAAGCGCCCGGUUAGUGGAAAUAUGGUAAAUGUUGUUAGAUGAGGUGAUUAAAAUGUUAAGAAAUUU